GAAGAUAUACCAACCAUAGCCACUCUUUUGAUCUCCCACUGUGGUAGAGUUUGUAGAUGAUCAAUGGUUGCUUAUUUGGCAAAAACAGCUGCAAUGGAGCCUGAUUGGAUUCUUGAAAAUUACAGUUGCUUUUUACCGAAGAUUUGUAUCAAUUGUGAGGCAUGAUAUAAGGUGUCAAGAUUUCGACCUCAAAAAGCAUCAGUUUGAAUGAGCAUGACUGGUUAUAACCGCACUUUCAAGGUCUGCUCAUAAGCUUUAAACAUGUGAUAUUGGCUGGACAAAUCAACCCUGUACAAUUUCUGAAUUGACUGCAAAUUUGUUUUCUUUGCAUAAAUAUUUUGGAGUCCACUGCUAUCCUGGUAGAGAAAGUCUCAAUGGAUAUGAGUUCAGGUUCAUAUGCAUCCGAGUGGGGCAAUCUGUUUUAACAUUUGGAGCAUGUAGCUUGCUGACUCAGUGCCAGGUGUGCAUGCCGAACUGCUCCUUCAGGAAGCCGUUUUGACCCGAGGCAAAUCGUCCCAAGUAUGCCUUCAAGACUUAGCACAAUAACAAGACAUUUGAAGCUUAUUUGAGGUGACACUCAUUUAUGGCUUUAUUUGUAACUGCUUAUCUUUUGCUUUGCCCAGGAUUUGAUGCAGGAAAAGAAAAUUUAAACUCUUCUAGCAGUUACUCAAUACGUUUGCACAGUGGGGCUCCUGUUUUCCGG
rnacentral:lncRNA from 1 species